GGCAUGUCCACCACAUGUGGAUGUAUGAUCCUCUCUCACCACAGCCUCUCCAGCAAGUAUCUGUGGUGGUUUUCCCCAUUCUAUAUAGUUUGGCCGGGGUGGCGUACCACCUCAGGAGGGUUUUAUAUGUCUGUUCCUGAAGUGUUACGCAUAUGGAGACUUUGGCCGUCGCUUCCUAUAUAUCCCUCCAGUCCUCCCCUUCCA